rnacentral:rRNA from 1 species
UGAGCAAUCUGCCCUUCUCAUCGGAAUAAGCGUUGGAAACGACGUCUAAUGCCGAAUACGACCUCCUUUCGCAUGAUCGGAGGUGGAAAGCUCCGGCGGAGAAGGAUGAGCUCGCGGCCUAUCGGCUAGUUGGUGUGGGUAAUGGCCCACCAAGGCGACGACGGGUAGCCGGCCUGAGAGGGUGACCGGCCACACUGGGACUGAGACACGGCCCAGGCUCCGUACGGGAGGNAGCG